GACAGGCUGGAGAGAAGAGGGAGAGAGAACAGGUUAAUGAGAGGUGCAGACACACGGACAGGCUGGAGAGAAGAGGGAGAGAGAACAGGUUAAUGAGAGGUGCAGACACACGGACAGGCUGGAGAGAAGAGGGAGAGAGAACAGGUUAAUGAGAGGUGCAGACACACGGACAGGCUGGAGAGAAGAGGGAGAGAGAACAGGUUAAUGAGAGGUGCAGACACACGGACAGGCUGGAGAGAAGAGGGAGAGAGAACAGGUUAAUGAGAGGUGCAGACACACGGACAGGCUGGAGAGAAGAGGGAGAGAGAACAGGUUAAUGAGAGGUGCAGACACACGGACAGGCUGGAGAGAAGAGGGAGAGAGAACAGGUUAAUGAGAGGUGCAGACACACGGACAGGCUGGAGAGAAGAGGGAGAGAGAACAGGUUAAUG